CUUUUGGGGAGUUUCAGGCACUUUACUUUUAAAGCGUUGUUGGAGACAUGCUUAUUUCAAGCUCUUGGACAACAAGCGGGAUUGGGUUUAUGUAAGAACAACGGUCUUCCUGAGAAGAUUGCAACAGAAAUUUCCUAGCUAGAAUUUAUUAUUUCUUCUAAAACGGCUGCAAAGGAACUGCUGUUACCCUGUUACUGCGUCUGAAAUGUUAUGGAAG
rnacentral:misc_RNA from 1 species